UACGAAGGGUGCAAGCGUUGUUCGGAAUUACUGGGCGUAAAGGGCGCGUAGGCGGAUAGAUUAGUCAGGAGUGAAAUCCCGAGGCUUAACCUCGGAACUGCCUUUGAAACGGUCUAUCUCGAGUGUAACAGGGGACAGUGGAAUACCCAGUGUAGAGGUGAAAUUCGUAGAUAUUGGGUAGAACACCGGAGGCGAAGGCGACUGUCUGGGUUACAACUGACGCUGAGGCGCGAAAGCGUGGGGAUCAAAC
rnacentral:rRNA from 1 species